rnacentral:tRNA from 1 species
AGUUAGGAAGUGAUAAGUUCACUUCUAGUUUCGACCUAGAGAUUGGUUAUAUUAUUUUACCCCUGGCUU